UGGAAGCCGUGUAAGGGAUAGUAGUGACAUCCUUUUAUCUUCUGGACCCCUGAGGUUCUCGAAGGAAUCCAGAAGAUAAAAGAUAUAACGAAUAGCCCGGCCCUGA
rnacentral:sRNA from 1 species